CAGUUUUGUCUUAUGUAUGGUUGUGGUUACAGACAACUACAAGGAGUUGAUGGGGAAAAAAGAAGCCUUCCUCAAGGAUGAGGACAUCUGGCACAUGGCAGUUGCAAGAAGGACCACACCUUGUACCACAACACAUGAUGGAAGCAAACCAAAGAAGAAAAAAAUUACGGCAACUUCCAGUCUCACUUCAGAUGAUGAUGAAACACAGAUUGACCCAUCACGAGUUCUUCAAGUAUUUACGGGAAUAAGGGAAUAUUGUGGGAUGAUAAGACAUAUUUUUCAUCAUAAGUGGCUGUAGGUUUGAC
ensembl:lncRNA